CCUACGGGGGGCAGCAGUGGGGGAUAUUGCACAAUGGGGGGAACCCUGAUGCAGCGACGCCGCGUGGGUGAAGAAGCGCCUCGGCGCGUAAAGCCCUGUCAGCAGGGAAGAAAAUGACGGUACCUGCAGAAGAAGCCCCGGCUAACUACGUGCCAGCAGCCGCGGUAAUACGUAGGGGGCAAGCGUUAUCCGGCUUUACUGGGUGUAAAGGGGGCGCAGACGGCGAUGCAAGCCAGGUGUGAAAGCCCGGGGCCCAACCCCGGGACUGCGCUUGGAACUGCGUGGCGGGAGGGCAGGAGGGGCAGGCGGAAUUCCUGGUGGAGCGGUGAAAUGGGUAGAUAUCAGGAGGAACACCGGUGGCGAAGGCGGCCUGCUGGACUGCAACUGACGUUGAGGCCCGAAAGCGUGGGGAGCAAACAGGAUUAGAUACCCCUGUAGUC
rnacentral:rRNA from 1 species